GAUGAACGCUGGCGGCGUGCUUAACACAUGCAAGUCGAACGAUGAACCGGGUGCUUGCACUCGGGGAUUAGUGGCGAACGGGUGAGUAACACGUGAGCAACCUGCUCUUGACUCUGGGAUAACUGCGGGAAACUGUAGCUAAUACCGGAUACGACCCUCGGAGGCAUCUCCUGGGGGUGGAAAGAAUUUCGGUCAAGGAUGGACUCGCGGCCUAUCAGCUAGUUGGUGAGGUAAAGGCUCACCAAGGCGACGACGGGUAGCCGGCCUGAGAGGGUGACCGGCCACACUGGGACUGAGACACGGCCCAGACUCCUACGGGAGGCAGCAGUGGGGAAUAUUGCACAAUGGGCGCAAGCCUGAUGCAGCAACGCCGCGUGAGGGAUGACGGCCUUCGGGUUGUAAACCUCUUUUAGCAGGGAAGAAGCGAAAGUGACGGUACCUGCAGAAAAAGCACCGGCUAACUACGUGCCAGCAGCCGCAGUAA
rnacentral:rRNA from 1 species